GUAGAGGCUCUAGGGUGGCCAUGGGGACUGGCGGGCUUAGGGCGACGCGGUCCGGGAAGGGCGCCGAGGGCACGGCGACGGUUGCCUCUCCUUGUCUGUACCGCUGUAUCGAGUGCAACCGGGAGGCCCAGGAGCUGUACCGAGACUACAGCCACGGCGUACUCAAGAUAACUAUCUGCAAAUCUUGCCAGAAACCAGUAGACAAAUAUAUUGAGUAUGAUCCUGUUAUUAUCUUGAUUAAUGCCAUUUUAUGCAAAGCCCAGGCCUAUAGGCAUAUUCUUUUCAACACUAAAAUAAAUAUCCAUGGGAAACUCUGCAUGUUUUGUUUGCUUUGUGAAGCAUACCUGAGGUGGUGGCAGCUGCAAGACUCAAGCCAGAACACAGCCCCAGAUGACUUGAUCCGAUAUGCCAAGGAGUGGGAUUUCUACAGGAUGUUUGUGAUUGCUGCUUUCGAACAAGCUGCCUUUUUUGCUGGCAUUUUUGCUUUCCUGUGGGUAGAGCUACCCAUGACAGCAAAAAAAAAAACCAACUUCAUUUUGCUACUGAAAGCGCUGCUGUUGUCCAGCUAUGGGAAGCUCCUGCUAAUCCCAGCUGUCAUCUGGGAACAUGACUACACACCUUUGUGCCUCAGGCUCAUUAAAGUAUUUGUCCUGACAUCGAAUUUCCAAGCAAUCAGAGUGACUCUGAACACCAACCGCAGACUCUCCCUGCUGGCUGUGCUGAGUGGCUUGUUGCUGGAGAGCAUCAUGGUCUACUUCUUCCAGAGGAUGGAGUGGGAUGUGGGCAGUGACUGCACACUCUACAAAUCUCAGGACUUCUGAAGAUUCCAAGCCUUCUACUUCUGACUUGUCCUGCAUCUCUCAACCACACAUGAACCCUGAAGGAAGCUGCUGAGUGGUUCUAUGUCAGGCCCUCAAAAUACUUAUGCUUCCUGCCUUCCACCGUGCCUGUCGAGCCCUGUGUCUGCACAAGGUUCAGUUCUUGAGUGGGUAGUCUCUACUGCUCAUGUGAUCUCAGCAGGACUCGGUGACCUGUGAGUGAGAACGCUCCUGUCUAUGGAUCUGAACCCUCCCGGCUUCUCCUCAGCCAGCCUCCCUGUGUUGAGAUUGCAGUGGCUGACCAGCUACCACAAAAGAGAAGGCACAAAAGAAAGCAGAGUCCCUGCUUUGUGUGAGUGAAGUCAAGACUGGGAAUUCCUGAACCCACCCAGACACCCCUAGGAAGAUCUGAGCCACCCAGACACAAGGCUAAGAGCACUACAGUGACACACGGGCAGACACCGUGGUUCCAUCAAGUGGAUUCCUUUGGUGUAUUUAUAUCCUUUAAAUAUUACAUUGCUGGCUUAAAAAUCUUAUUUUGUGUUUUUCUAACAGAAGCACUUUACUCUUAAGUAGUCUUUUGGAAUAAAUAAACUUUUUAUACAUUUCUGAUUCA